AAUUUGUUUGUUUUGCUUGUAUUUCCACAAUUGUAAAUGCUGUGAGUUAAGUGACUGCUUUGCUUCAACUACAGGAGAAUGUGAAAACACUCCAGGAGAGAGAGGUUGCAUAUAUCAAUGCAGACUCAUACACAGAAGGCAAUUAUACCCUCAGAGUUGACUGUACACCUCUUCUUUUCCAGUUGGUAUAUAAACUGACAAAAGAGUGGAGGAAUCAGACAUCAUUCAUCUGGAGAAAUGCUGUUGGUUGCUGAGGGCUCAAUCCCGAACUGGAUGAUUUGACUUAGAGACAUUUGGCCCAUUGGCUUCACCGCCAAUUUGUCCAUCUCUGAGUGAAGGUGGGAAUCCUUCUAUUUUCUACAAAUGUUCUUUGGUAAACACGUGAGCCUUGUUCCACCUUUGGAGCCUUGUGUUUAUUUAAUGCUUUUGGUGAAAAUCAUGACAGCCACAUAGAUUUUAAGGAGAUAUCCUGUGGGUUAUCAGCUUGUUGCAGAGGACCUCUGGCUGAAAGACAGAAAUUUUGCUUCAAGGUAUUUGAUGUUGACGGUGAUGGAGUUCUCUCUAGGGUUGAACUGAGAGACACGUGGUUGCACAUUUAGAGGUCUGGAAGGACAACUGCACCGAUGAUACCCUGGAAUUACAUGUGGAUGUAUCCAACAUUGUAGAAGACACAUAGAAUGCACAUGACACCACAAAGAAUGGCCAUCUUAACUCUAGAGGAAUAUCAUAUCUGGAGUGUGAAAAAUGUUCUUGCCAAUGAGUUUUUGAAUCUACUUUUCCAGGUAUGUUUAAGGUAAAUGACAGAGACCGAGGGCAGUGGUACCAGUAGUUCUACAUCUUUUCCAUUAUGUAGUAGUUAGACAACUAGACUACAAAACCAUAUAUUGUCAAAAGAACUGCAUUAACCUGUACACCACCUGCAGAUGGUAAGUUAGAGCGUGCAUGCUUCUCAGAGUCACAAUGUGCAUGAUAGGAAAGUAGAGUAUAGCUGAUAAUGUUUAUCUUAAUAACUCAUGAUAGAGCAGAUUGUAGACACAUAGAAAAGAAUUUAAAAUGUAAAAGCCAUUAUAAUUUGCUAUUUUUCUUUACUUUUUUUUUUUUUUUUUAAGACCCUUCCUAACAAGUAAGGCAGUGUGGACAGAGACAAAGAUCAUAAGUCGGCAGCUGUAAAUUUUUCACAAAGUAUACAAUCUUUCCAGUUAGGAGGUUAUUUUAGAUGCAAAUCUGUUUCUUAAUUUUCUUUUAUUCUUUCUUUCUUUCUUUUUUUUUUUCUUUUUUUUAAUUUAAUUCUUUAGAAGGUCCAAAAAAGAUUGAAGGAGAAAGGAGGAAAAAAAGCUGUCGGGGUGAACAUGAAAUCAUAAAACUUGCCAGAUUUUAACUAUUUUCCAGUUAAAGUAGUUCUCUUUGCUCCAAUUUAAAGAAACAACUUAUAGUUUCCCAUUUUUCAUAGUUCUUCAUAAAUAUAUGUUGAUUUAAUAGUAUUUUACAGGGUGUGAGUAGGGACAGACUGGAAGUUCAAGAUUUGUAAAUACUGACAGGUAUAUAUAGAAUAGAUAAACAAGUUUAUACUGUAUAGCACAGGGAAAUAUAUUCAAAAUUUUGUAGUAGCUCAUGGGGAAAAAUAUGAAAACAAAUACACAUAUAUUCGUAAAGUACUGAAAAAUUGUGCUGUACACCAGAAAUUGACACAACAUUGUAAACAGACUAUAACUCAGUAAAAAAAUAAAAACAAGAUAAAACUGUUAGAACACUAUAAAAAAAGUAGUAUUUUAGAUUUUUCUUAUUUUAUUCUCCUUUUCUUAUAAAAGCACCCCUAUGAAGAUCAAUAAGGCUUGAUAUCUUUAUAUCUAUCAUGAUCCUCCAUUGUAAAUACAGAGUAACCUGCCUGUGACACAGCUAUGUUAGAAUAAAUGAAAAUUGGACUCUUCCUGACAGCUAAUAAUUAAUGUAUAUUUAAAGCAUAUGAAAUCUGAUAUGUCUAUGAUACCCAUUUAAAUCAAUCAGUUGCUCCACUGUCAGUUAUCAGCCAGGAUCUAAGUUGAUGUCUUUAUAAAAUAUAAAUACAUAUAAAAAUAAUAUAAACCUACUAUAAACAGAAAUGACUUGCUUAGUAAUAUGAAAAUUGAGCAGCUAUUUUUAUCUCAUUUAAAAUGAUGUCCUCAAUUACUUUAAGUUAUCAUUAAUUAUAUAAACAUUUUGACCACUUAAGUUUGUGUCUGAGUCACCUUGCAGCUCUUACAUAGCAAAGCAUUUUGAACUUUUAUAUUGCCUUUCCUAUUUUCUCAUGUUUAUCAGGGACUUGCAUAGGCACUAUUUUUUCUAGGACUCUAUAAACAGAUGUAUGCCUGAGAUUUUCUUUUGUGUCUGUGUUUCUAGCAUUAUAUUACUGACAGAUUUUUUUGUUGGUUAUCAAUCUAAUUUUUUUUCUUGGUAUAUAUAGUCCUUUCAGCCCUUUCAAAUAUAUAUAUAUGUAGUCAGUUUACAAUGUGUCAAUUUCUGGUGUAUAGCGCAAUGCUUCAGUCAUACAUGAACAUACAUAUAUUAAUUUUCAUACUUUUUCACCAUAAGUUACUACAAAACAGUAUUGGAUAUAGUUCCCUGUGCUAUACAGUAUGAACUUGUUUAUAAAUUGGGAGUUUGAGAUUUGCAGGUACUAAAUAUUAACAUUACAUUUUAUGAUGCUUACUUUAUCCCAUAUUCAGACAUGCUUUUAAAACUUAAUUUUCACUUAAUAUAUAAGUAAUCAGACUUACUCUAAAUUGUUUUAUUUUCUGUCUGUUUCUAAAAUAGAAUUAGCUAGUAAAUUCAGUGAUAAAAGCUUGAAUUAUACUUUUAUUUUAUUUGCCAAGAUCCCACUCCUGGCUGACCAUUUUGGGUAUUUAAGUAUAAAGUAAGUAAAUGUCAGUAGAAUUAGGAAACCAUUCCUGUGGUAAUAUUAUUUUCAGUCCUUUCAAAUAAACUCAGUGCCCAAUAUUUUGCAGAGGAAGCAUUCUAAACAUGAUCAGGAUCUUCUAUCUUGUACGUUUGUCAGAAAGCGUCAAAUGUUAAACAGUUUGAUAAACAGAAUAGUGCACCACACUGACCCCUACCUAUAUCCAUGCUCUAAUCCUGAAAUCUGUGAAUAUGUUAUUUUACAUGGCAAAGGGGAUUUUGCAGAUGUAUCAGGUUAAGGACUCUGAGACAGGGAGAUUAGCCUGGAUUAUCUACAUGGGCCUAGUCUAACAACAGGAGUCCUUAAAAAUUGAAAAUCUUUCCCAGCUGUGGUCAGAAAGAUAAGACUUUGGAAGAAGGAUUAGAAAGCUGUAAAGCUGUUAGCUUUGAAGAUAGAGGAAGGGCCAUGGGUAAAGAAAUGUGGGUGAACUCUAGAAGCUGGAAAAGACAAGGAAAUAUAUUCUUCCUUUGACCUACAGGGCAUACAGCCCUGCUGACAUCUUGAUUUUUAGCCAAAUGAUACCUGUUCCUGACUUGACCUACAGAACCAUAAAAUAAUAAGUUUGUGUUGCUUUAAGCUGCAAAAUUUGUGAUAAUUUGUUACAGCAGUGAUAAAAAUAAAUAUAGGUGAGGUAAUCCAACUUUAUGGAUUGGAGGGCUCAGCAUUUUAAAGAUGUCAGUUCCCCUUCAACUGAUUCAAAGAUUUAUAUGUGCACAUCAAAAUCCCCAACAGUUAAUUGUUGUUACUGUUUUUUUGUAGAACUUGACAAGCUGAUUCUAAAUACAUAGAGAAGCGUGAAGGGCCAACAAUAGCCAAGAUGAUAUUAAAGAACAAUGUUAAAGGACUUAUAAAACAAUAUUAAGUCUAUGUGAUAACUACCUAAAGUUAGACAUAUAGACCAAUGGAACAGCAUUGAAUUAAACCCUGUACCAUACAUGAACAGUAACUUUAGAUAGAUUAUAAAUCUAAUAUAUUUGAAACAUAAAGCAAAGCAUCUGGGGGAGGGUAAAGCUCAGGUGGAAUGUGUGCUUAGCAUGCAUAAGGUCUUGGGUUCAACUCCCAGUACCUCCAUUAAAAUAAAUAACCUAAUCCCCCACCAAAAUAAAGCAUCAAGAAAAUAGUGUAGGAGAUAUUUUAAUGACUUUGAAGUGGCAAAGAGUUCUUAAACCGGACAAAGCAUGAAACAUAAAAGAAGAGUUUUAAGUUGGACUUCAGUAAAAUUAAGAAUUAUUUUUAUCAAGAGAUACCAUCAAGAAAGUGAAAAGCUAAGCCACACGGUGGGAAAAUAUAUUUGCUAUACCUAUAUCCAACAAAAGACUUGUAUCUAGGGCAUAUAAAGAACAAAAACCAGUGGAGAAAAAGGCAGAACCUCAAUAUUAAAAUAUGCAAAAUAAUUGAACAGGUGCUUCACACACACACAAAAAAAUCCACAUAAGCUAUGAAAAGGGGCUGACCUCUUUAGUAAUAAUGGAAAUACGUACUAAAACCACACUUGGAACACCAUUAGACAUCCACUAGAAUAGUUAGUUGUUAAGUGAUAUGAAGCAUUGGUGAGGGCAACAAGCAAUGGGGACUCUUACACAUGGCCAGUGGGAAUAUAAAUUCUUACAAAUACUUUGGAAAUAGGCUUUUUGAAUGAAAGUUAUAUGUGUGUGUGUGUGUGUGUAUAUGUACACACACACACAUACACAUACACACACACCCACACCCUAUUACCAAGGGUAACCCAUAUGUGUACCCUUCAGAAACUUCUACAUCUGAGCACCAAAGGACAUCCAGAAAAUUCUCAUAAUCACUAUUUGUUAUACCCCCAAAUAGAAAAUGACCCAAACACUUGUCAACAAUAAAUACAUAACCAUAAGUGGUGGCACAUGCAUACAAGUUGUAUACUUUAAAGCAAUAAAAAAUAUACUAGUUUACAGAAAACACUAGUGGAUGAAUCUUACAUAAUGUUGAGUGGAAAGUACGGGACCAAAAAUUUCAAAAGCAAAAAAACCAAUCCAUGGUGGCUGAAUUUAGGAUGGUGAAUCCAUCAAAGGGGUGCCGUAGUAACUGGGAAGAAACCCAAAUUGGAACAGCAAUGUCCUGUUUCUUGACUGGAUGAAGGUUACAUAGAUGUGUUUACUUUGUGAAAAAUCAUUGAGCUGUAUACUUAAGAUGUGUUCACAUUUAAGCAUGUAUAUUAUAUUUGCAUUUUUUUAAAAAAAGUUUGCUUGCAAAAAAAGAUAUCCAAAGCCCAAGUAUUUAUCAGUAGGAGAAUGGAUAAAAGAAAUGAUAGUAUAUUCAAACAAUGGAAUACUACUCAACAAUAAAAAAGAAUCAACUACUGAUACAAGGAUGAACCUCAAAAGCCUAAUUUAUACAUUUCAUUGUCAGGUAAAUUUUAACUCAGAAGGUAAACAAAACUGUAAACAGGCAUGUGCCCUGGGGGGAGGGGUGCUGUAGCCUUUGUCUCCUCAGACCUGUGCCAUUACUGGCACAUCUCGCAAGAAGAGAGGCAGGGAUCAGCCACAGCUACCAUCUCCUCCUGUGCAUAGUGCCUGGGCGGGGGUGGGGCUGAGGCCUGAAUCUGCACGUGGGGGCGCCACAACCUCCUAGGCAGGACUGAGACUUGUUUAUAGCCCGAGGCAGAGAGGAUCUUUCUACCCUGACACCUCAGAGAACUUGUGCUGCCAAGAGAAACAAGGAGCUAAGAUUUGGCACAGAGCAUAGGUGGGGCUGUUCCGCAGUCUUCCCCGAGCCCACCUACAGACCGCCUACCCAAGGCAGAGCAGGCAGCUGCACAGAGCAGCAGAGUGACCAGCACGAGGAGAGAGCAGGUGGGCAGCCACCCACCUUCCUGGCAGGAACACAGCACCUGACCACGGUGCUGGGACGGGGUGUGAUCUGCCCACCUGCCUCCCCCUGAUCACAGCAUCUGACUGUGGCAUCAGGAGGGGGAGUGACCUGCCCGCCCACCGGGUAAGAGCUCAGCUCCUGACCUUGUGUUAGGAGGGGACACAAUCUGCUAGCCAACAGCCACUGAGAGCAGCACAGAUGAGGGCGCCAACAGAAGGCCUAUGAAACAGCAAGCUGAGUUCGCAAAGCAGG